UGGGGAAUAUUGCACAAUGGGCGCAAGCCUGAUGCAGCCAUGCCGCGUGUAUGAAGAAGGCCUUCGGGUUGUAAAGUACUUUCAGCGGGGAGGAAGGCGAUAAGGUUAAUAACCUUGUCGAUUGACGUUACCCGCAGAAGAAGCACCGGCUAACUCCGUGCCAGCAGCCGCGGUAAUACGGAGGGUGCAAGCGUUAAUCGGAAUUACUGGGCGUAAAGCGCACGCAGUCGGUCUGUCAAGUCUGAUGUGAAAUCCCCGGGCUCAACCUGGGAACUGCAUUCGAAACUGGCAGGCUAGAGUCUUGUAGAUGGGGGUAGAAUUCCAGGUGUAGCGGUGAAAUGCGUAGAGAUCUGGAGGAAUACCGGUGGCGAAGGCGGCCCCCUGGACAAAGACUGACGCUCAGGUGCGAAAGCGUGGGGAGCAAACA
rnacentral:rRNA from 1 species